rnacentral:sRNA from 1 species
AAUAUAGAAUAAAUGAUCAUUAACCAUAGUCCCUCUACGGUGCUGCAGAACACCAGAACUCAUUCUUUCUAUCUAGCUGUAGUUUUGUAUCUGUUAACCAACUUCUCCCCAUCCUCUCCUCCUGCUUACCCUUCCCAGCCUCUAAUACAGUUCUACUAUUUCCCUGAUGUUUUCAUCUCUUUCAAAAUUAGACAGAAACAAGCAUUUAGGUGAAAGAAAAUGUUAUGAUGUAAAAUAUUAACAUAUUCAUUUUAAUUUUUAAUUUUUUUAGGAUGGGUGCGCUGUCUCAUGCCUACAAUCCCAGCACUUUUGGAGGCUGAGGUGGGAGGAUCACUUGAGCCCAGGAGUUGGAGGCUGCAGUGAGCUGCACUCCUGCCUGGGUGACAGAGCGACAUUCUGUCUCAGGUCUUGAACUCCUGGGCUCAGGUGAUCCUCCCCACUCAGCCACCCAAGUAGCUGGGAUUACAGGCAUGAGCCACAGCAGCUGGCUCCAUUUUUAAAAUUGAGGGGAAAUUCACAUAACACAAAAGCAACCACUUGAAAACGUACAGUUCAAUAGCAUCUAGUAUUUUCAUUAUGUUGUGCAAUAAUUGUCACCUCUAUCUCGUUCUGAAAUAACAUAUUUUUCUUUAUAUGAAUGCAGUUGUAAAAUAGAAUUUUAAUGUAGACUUUUUUUUAAUGAAGGAAGGGGUGCACAGAGAAAAGUUCCUCAGGCCCGUGAAAAUCACAAUUUCUGAACCUCCUUGUACAUGUGAGGUGUUUAGUUGGUAGACGGAUGGGCAAAUUUUAAUUUUUAUAUGCAUUUUAUUUAAUGUUGAUGAAAAAUAUAAUUCACAUUUCAAGUAGGGGUCUAAAGUUUCCAUUUUAGAUACAUUUUUAAUUUUAAUUUUUAAAGUAUUUAUUUAUUUUUAUUUUGAGACAGAGUCUCACUCUGUCGUCCAGGCUGGAGUGCUGUGGUGCGAUCUCGGUUCACUGCAACCUCCACCUCCUGGGUUCAAGUGAUUCUCUUGCCUCAGCCUCCCGAGUAGCUGGGACUACAGGCACUUGCCACCAUGCCUGGGUCAUUUUUGUAUUUUUAGUAGAGGCGGUGUUUCACUGUGUUGGCCAGGCUGGUCUCGAACUCCUGAGCUCAAGUGAUCUGCCCGCUUCGGCCUCCCAAAGUGCUGGGAUUAUAGGCGUGAGCCACCGCGCCUGGUUCGGUACUGUUUUUUAGGUAAGUGAAUAAGGACGUAUGGAUAUGGCCAAAUAUAAAGAGGAGAUGCAAAAGUCUGCAGUUUGGGAAACAUCAGUACAGUGCCUGCCACCCCAGAGGGGCUCAUGAACAUCACGCUGUGGCCAAGAAUCAUUAUCAUUUCAUUCCCAAGGGACUCCCCCGCUUUCCUGACUCCCCGCUCUCCCUGUUGCUCACCUGGGCAUUCAGGCAGAACAGCUGCAUUUACUGGGCACCUGCUGUUUGCCAGGCACCUGCUGAUUUUGUUCUUGUGAAAAGCCUCCAGGCUGGACACAAAACCGUCUUAAUUUGGGGGACUAGCCUCCGGGUGCUUUGUCUAGGGCUCCGUAUGCAGCUGGCACUUCACAAAGGCUUGUUAAUUUCCCUUGAGCCACUGGGGCAGCCCCCAGAGGCUUGUGAUGAUCUCAGUGAAAUAAGAGUGGGCUGGAGUCAGGGUGUGUCAAAAAGGUCCAUUAUUUUUGUGGUUUCCUCCUCUUCCCAGCCAUUCCCAGGAAUGAUUCUGGAGACUUGACCUUUUCCUGCCAAGACCUGACCUUAGAACCGGGCACAUCGCAACAGACUGAUCUUCCCCCUCCCCUGCCAUUUUUUUUAGCUUUAUUUUUAUUUACUUGUUGUUCUUAGAGACAGGGCUGUGCUCUGGCACUCAGGCUUGGAAUGCAGUGGUGCAAUCACAGCUCACUGCAGCCUCAAACUUCUGGGCUCAAGCGAUCCUCCUGCCUUGGCCUUAGAAAGUGUUGGGAUUACAGGUGUGGGCCACUGCGCCUGGCCUUUGUGCUUUUUUGGAGGGGUGGAGGUCUCACUAUCUUGCUCAGGCUGGGAAGAUCAUAGAUCACUGUAACCUUGAACUCUUGGGCUCAAGUGAUCCUCCUGCCUCAGCCGGCCCAAAUAGCUAGGGCUACCACCCCCAGCUGUUUUUAAAUUUUUAGAAACAGGUUCUCACUAUGUUGCCCAGGCCAGUCUUGAACUCCUGGGCGCAAGUGAUUCUCCUGCCUCCGCCUUCCAAAGUGCUGGAAUUACAGGCGUGAGCCAAAACACCCAGCCACCCCCGCCUUCUGAGAGUCCUCAGGAAGCACUCAUUACCCUUCGCAGCCUUCGCCAUCUGCCCACGCCUGCCUUCUGUCCUGGCCCUCACCAGCCCCAGGCUUCUCUGUUUCCCGCAGAUAGACCAUGAGCAGCCAUGGCAACAGCCUGUUCCUGCGGGAGAGCGGCCAGCGGCUGGGCCGGGUGGGCUGGCUGCAGCGGCUGCAGGAAAGCCUGCAGCAGAGAGCACUGCGCACGCGCCUGCGCCUGCAGACCAUGACCCGCGAGCACGUGCUGCGCUUCCUGUGCCGAAACGCCUUCAUUCUGCUGACGGUCAGCGCCGUGGUCAUUGGGGUCAGCCUGGCCUUUGCCCUGCGCCCGUAUCAGCUCACCUACCGCCAGAUCAAGUACUUCUCUUUUCCUGGAGAGCUUCUGAUGAGGAUGCUGCAGAUGCUGGUGUUACCUCUCAUUGUCUCCAGCCUGGUCACAGGUAUGGCAUCCCUGGACAACAAGGCCACGGGGCGGAUGGGGAUGCGGGCAGCUGUGUACUACAUGGUGACCACCAUCAUCGCGGUCUUCAUUGGCAUCCUCAUGGUCACCAUCAUCCAUCCCGGGAAGGGCUCCAAGGAGGGGCUGCACCGGGAGGGCCGGAUCGAGACCAUCCCCACAGCUGAUGCCUUCAUGGAUCUGAUCAGAAAUAUGUUUCCACCAAACCUCGUGGAGGCCUGCUUCAAACAGGUCAGGGGGAAGUACACAGUUUGAUCAAGGAAAUUCGGAGGGUGGUGGGAGCUUGGGGCUGAAGGGAUGGUCCAAGGGCAAGAGAUGGGAGGAAGGGCCUGACAGAGCAACGGGCAGGGGUUCUUGAGGAGUCUAGGAGAAAGGAUGUAUUUUCCAUAGUGAUCUGGGAGGGUUAGGGAGAAGCACUUAGGUCCGAGAAUGGUGGCUCAGGCUUGUAAUCCCAGCACUUAGGGAGGCCAAGGCGGGAGGAUCACUUGAGGCCAAAAGUUCAAGACCAGCCUGGGCAACAGAAUGAGACUCUCUGUCUUUC